GACUCACUAGCUCAAUUGGUAGAGCAUCUGACUCUUAAUCAGCAGGUUCCGGGUUCGAGUCCCGGGUGGGUCA
rfam:Megamonas funiformis YIT 11815 genomic scaffold supercont1.1, whole genome shotgun sequence.